rnacentral:rRNA from 1 species
AUUGAACGCUGGCGGCAUGCCUUACACAUGCAAGUCGAACGGUAACGCGGGGCAACCUGGCGACGAGUGGCGAACGGGUGAGUAAUGCAUCGGAACGUGCCCAGUAGUGGGGGAUAGCCCGGCGAAAGCCGGAUUAAUACCGCAUACGACCUACGGGUGAAAGGGGGGGAUCGCAAGACCUCUCGCUAUUGGAGCGGCCGAUGUCAGAUUAGCUAGUUGGUGGGGUAAAGGCCUACCAAGGCGACGAUCUGUAGCUGGUCUGAGAAGACGACCAGCCACACUGGGACUGAGACACGGCCCAGACUCCUACGGGAGUCAGCAGUGGGGAAUGUUGGACAAUGGGCGAAAGCCUGAUCCAGCCAUGCCGCGUGCGGGAAGAAGGCCUUCGGGUUGUAAACCGCUUUUGUCAGGGAAGAAAUCUUCUGAGUUAAUACCUCGGGAGGAUGACGGUACCUGAAGAAUAAGCACCGGCUAACUACGUGCCAGCCGCCGCCGUAA